CCCCAUCUCCUUAUGGUCCCUGGACUGCAUGAUGUUGGCCCCAGAGUGGAAGCUCCUCUGAGCUCCUUAUACAAACCACGCACAGGCAAUGCACCCUUUGCUGAGCAAGACAUCAACAUUUUGCCUUCUGCCUCCCGCAGCGUACCUCAUUUUUUUGAACCAAGCCAGGCUCUUCCCGGGAUUGUAGUGAAUGCGAGUUUGCUUCAUCUAGUUGCAUCCACGGGUCUGUGUGAUAUUUCAGGGCUGGUACCAUGUCCCUGCGCACUGUUGUAUCCCCAGCCCCCAGCCCAGUAUUUGGCCCCCACUAGGCAUUUGGUAAAUAUGUAGCAAGUAAAAAUGAGUGGGACGGGGCUACCGAGGAAGGGGACUGAGAAAGUUGCUUUCUGUGGCUGUCUGGGGCCUCUUGCUCUUGGAGGUCAGUUCUGUGGCAGAGGGACUAAUUCAGGACGAGGCUGAAGCUGAUGUGUGUCCGUCUCAGGCCCCAGAAACGACACAGUGCUAACACAUUCUUGGCUCCUCCGAGGGCCGUGUGAACAGUAACACUCGGGGGUCCUUCUUUAGGGUCUAACACAUCGGCCUGUCCUGAGGGGUACAAAGGGCAACAAAGAAACAGGGCAGGGGCUCCCAGGACAGGCUUCCCAUCAGACUCCCUGGGACUUUACUCCCCGUAAAGUAUUUAACCACCAGAGCCACCUGGGCCUCACACCUCCUUCCCAAGACCUGAUUCAAAUGUCUGAUGUGGGACGUGGUGAUUGAUUUAUUAAAAGUCCUAGGUGAUUCCAAUAUACCUCCCUGACACAGAGAAAAGAACUGUGUUUCUUUUUUUGUUUUUAAACUAAUCUGUCUGUAAUGCCUGUGAGGUUUCCACAUCGGGCCCCCUGAGGAGCAGGCUGUCGGUAGGCCGGUGGUUCAGGGUGAGGGCCUGGCCAGAUGGGAGAGAGGAAGGGACGUGGGCUUUGCAGGCAUUGGAGAACUUGGGUUUGAACCCUGUCCUCCAGCAUCCCAGCUCUGUGGCCUUGGGCAAGUCACUUCAGCUGUGUGCAUGUCGGUGUCCUCUGUUAACUGACAGAAUUCCUACUGCACAGGUUGGCUGGGAUCAAUCGCCUAACACAGGGUCCAGCUUAGAGCCGGUGCUCCAUAAAGUGUGGUUCCGUUACCUUCCUGACCAAGCUACGGGGUGGGAGGGGAGGUCACGUGGGGCCCCCAGCCUGGCUCAGUACCUGACGGGAAGAACCCCGGCCUGGGAGAAAUUUCUAGUGCUGACCCAUCAUGAUAUGUGACCUUGGCCAAGUCCGCCUCGGUGACCCCAUUCAGCUCUGACCCGGGA
rnacentral:lncRNA from 1 species